AUUGAACGCUGGCGGCAGGCCCAACACAUGCAAGUCGAGCGGCAGCGGGAAAGUAGCUUGCUACUUUUGCCGGCGAGCGGCGGACGGGUGAGUAAUGCCUGGGAAAUUGCCCAGUCGAGGGGGAUAACAGUUGGAAACGACUGCUAAUACCGCAUACGCCCUACGGGGGAAAGCAGGGGACCUUCGGGCCUUGCGCAAUUGGAUAUGCCCAGGUGGGAUUAGCUAGUUGGGGAGGUAAUGGCUCAUCAAGGCGACGAUCCCUAGCUGGUCUGAGAGGAUGAUCAGCCACACUGGAACUGAGACACGGUCCAGACUCCUACGGGAGGCAGCAGUGGGGAAUAUUGCACAAUGGGGGAAACCCUGAUGCAGCCAUGCCGCGUGUGUGAAGAAGGCCUUCGGGUUGUAAAGCACUUUCAGCGAGGAGGAAAGGUUGUUGGCUAAUACGUAUCAACUGUGACGUUACUCGCAGAAGAAGCACCGGCUAACUCCGUGCCAGCAGCCGCGGUAACAC
rnacentral:rRNA from 1 species